AGACAGGUAGUCAUGGCCGUACCCGUGAGGUGCGCGGGAGCCCACAGGUAACCGAACCGAACCGAACGGCCCCCGGGACGGCGCCUUCCUUCCCCGCUGCUCGGUCACCUCCUCCGGCCGAAAGCUCCGGACGCACCAGCGGACCCUUCUGCGGCCCUUACCCGCCUCUGCUGCACUCUGCCCCGGCCUGGGCUCGGCGCGUGUCCCGGUGGAAGACAUGGAGGAGCCGGAGCUUCCCAGAGAGCUGCUGGAGAGCGUCCGGGAGGCGGUGGGUCGGGGGGUGAAGCUGAGCCUGAGGAGGAAGGUCCAACUGGAGGUCAAAGGUGACAAAGUGGAGAACCGAGUACUGGCGUUGGCGUCCCAUCGGGCGUAUCUGCUGACGACUCGACUCCCAUCCAAGGU